rnacentral:pre_miRNA from 1 species
GGCGACUUGUCCAGAAUCACACAGGGUUCUCAAUCCUGUGCUUCUGGAUGGAGUCGUCAAA